CCGUUUGAUAGAGGAAUGGAUGGAUGGAUCAACCACACGUGGGAUGAAACUCCAGAGGAUUCCAGGGAAAUCUACAUAUCCAGGUCCCAACUCGAGUUAGCUUCUUCACUCUCUCUCUCUGUCCCAAAUGGUCUGCGACUGAUUUUCCUCUCCAGGACUUUAGUAGUCUUCUUCCAAAUCCCUCCGCAUCUGAAGCUCCACCUACAGUUGAUCCAUUUCCUCAUCAGUGAUUUGAGGCAUAUAUUUUGGUUUACAUCUUGAAUACAGCAAUACCAUCUUGGAUAAAGAACGGCCUUCAUCCUUCUCUGUGUGAUCUUGAUGGAUGUCAUACCACUAUCACAACUUCAUUUGGGAAUACAAUAUUGUCUAAUACGCGUUAUGAUAUCAAGAGUAUGGGAAUUCCGAGGGAAAAGUGAAAACACCUAGACCUGGUCAUUAUUGAUGAAAAGAAAACAUCAAUGUAUGUUGAAAUCCCAGCAGACGUCAUUGAAGUAUUGAAAACCAACCUGGUAGAAGUAAGAGUAGUCACAAUAAAGAAAUUUAUUGUGCACCAUGCAAGAAUAUUGUUCAAAGUAGUGCAACAUCCAUACAUGAUAAAGCUAAACAGAAGAACAGAAAUUAUUCCAGUUGAUCCACUGCCUCAAAAUUUUCCACGACAUGUUUACAGCUUAAUAAACUUCUCAAAUUUGGACCAUUACCUCAACAUGACAGCUCAAUUCCUAGGUAUAAAUAUGCAA